rnacentral:rRNA from 1 species
AGCAGCCGCGGUAAUUCCAGCUCCAAUAGCGUAUAUUAAAGUUGUUGCAGUUAAAAAGCUCGUAGUUGAAUUUCGGGAUCAAUGCGUCGGUCGUGCUUUCGGGUACGUACUGGUGUCAUUGGUUUCUCCUUUCUGACGAGCCGUGAUGUCAUUAAUUUGGUGUUACGGGUAGUUAGGACUGUUACUUUGAAAAAAUUAGAGUGUUUAAAGCAGGCAUUAGCUUGAAUACAUUAGCAUGGAAUAAUGAAAUAGGACGUUCGAUCCUAUUUUGUUGGUUUCUAGGAUCAACGUAAUGAUUAAUAGGGAUAGUUGGGGGCAUUAGUAUUCAAUUGUCAGAGGUGAAAUUCUUGGAUUAUUGAAGACUAACUACUGCGAAAGCAUUUGCCAAGGAUGUUUUCAUUAAUCAAAGAACGAAAGUUAGGGGAUCGAAGACGAUCAGAUACCGUCGUAGUCUUAACCAUAAACUAUGCCGACUAGGGAUCGGAUGAUGUUAAUUUUUUAAUGACUCAUUCGGCGCCUU